rnacentral:RNase_P_RNA from 1 species
AGGUUGCCGGGCGGCCGCAGGCGCUUUACGCGCUUGAGGAAAGUCCGAGCACCACAGGGCAGGGUGCCGGUGAAAUGCCGGCGGAGGCGACUUUAGGGAAAGUGCAACAGAGAGAUACCGCGAAAUCGCGCCCCGUGCGCGACCGCAAGGAUGGAAAGGUGAGGUAAGAGCUCACCAGCGGCCUGGCAACUUGUCCGCUAUGUAAACCCCACCCGGUGCAAGAUUGAUAGAGACAUAUGCGGCGGCCCGUCGCGUCUCUUAGACAUCGCUUGAGCCUGCUGGCAACUUCAGGCCCAGAUAGAUGGCCGCUCAAGACAGAACUCGGCUUACAGACA